rnacentral:rRNA from 16 species
AAAUCGCCAGUGCGACGGUCGGGGAUGGGCUUCACGGUCGCGAGGGAAACAACCCAGAAACGCUAGCUAAGGCCCCACCCAACAUAAUCGCUCAGUGAUACAGGAACCGGUGGUGCACCAUACA